UCACUACUCCCUCCGUCCGGAAAUACUUGUCAUCAAAAUGAAUAAAAGGGGAUGUAUCUAGAUGUAUUUUAGUUUUAGAUACAUUCCUUUUUGUUUAUUUUGAUGACAAGUAUUUUCGGACGGAGGGAGUACUUG
rnacentral:pre_miRNA from 1 species